rnacentral:rRNA from 1 species
GAUGAACGCUGGCGGCGUGCCUAAUACAUGCAAGUAGAACGCUGAAGCUUGGUGCUUGCACCGAGCGGAUGAGUUGCGAACGGGUGAGUAACGCGUAGGUAACCUGCCUGGUAGCGGGGGAUAACUAUUGGAAACGAUAGCUAAUACCGCAUAACAGUCGACAUUGCAUGAUGUUGAUUUGAAAGGGGCAAAUGCUCCACUACCAGAUGGACCUGCGUUGUAUUAGCUAGUUGGUGAGGUAACGGCUCACCAAGGCGACGAUACAUAGCCGACCUGAGAGGGUGAUCGGCCACACUGGGACUGAGACACGGCCCAGACUCCUACGGGAGGCAGCAGUAGGGAAUCUUCGGCAAUGGGGGCAACCCUGACCGAGCAACGCCGCGUGAUGUGAAGAAUGGUUUUCGGAUCGUAAAGCUCUGUUGUAAGAGAAGAACGAGUGUGAGAUGUGGAAAGUU